GGUUAAGCGACUAAGCGUACACGGUGGAUGCCCUGGCAGUCAGAGGCGAUGAAGGACGUGCUAAUCUGCGAUAAGCGUCGGUAAGGUGAUAUGAACCGUUAUAACCGGCGAUUUCCGAAUGGGGAAACCCAGUGUGAUUCGUCACACUAUCAUUAACUGAAUCCAUAGGUUAAUGAGGCGAACCGGGGGAACUGAAACAUCUAAGUACCCCGAGGAAAAGAAAUCAACCGAGAUUCCCCCAGUAGCGGCGAGCGAACGGGGAGGAGCCCAGAGCCUGAAUCAGUGUGUGUGUUAGUGGAAGCGUCUGGAAAGGCGCGCGAUACAGGGUGACAGCCCCGUACACAAAAAUGCACAUGCUGUGAGCUCGAUGAGUAGGGCGGGACACGUGGUAUCCUGUCUGAAUAUGGGGGGACCAUCCUCCAAGGCUAAAUACUCCUGACUGACCGAUAGUGAACCAGUACCGUGAGGGAAAGGCGAAAAGAACCCCGGCGAGGGGAGUGAAAAAGAACCUGAAACCGUGUACGUACAAGCAGUGGGAGCACAGAGCAAUCUGUGUGACUGCGUACCUUUUGUAUAAUGGGUCAGCGACUUAUAUUCUGUAGCAAGGUUAACCGAAUAGGGGAGCCGAAGGGAAACCGAGUCUUAACUGGGCGUUAAGUUGCAGGGUAUAGACCCGAAACCCGGUGAUCUAGCCAUGGGCAGGUUGAAGGUUGGGUAACACUAACUGGAGGACCGAACCGACUAAUGUUGAAAAAUUAGCGGAUGACUUGUGGCUGGGGGUGAAAGGCCAAUCAAACCGGGAGAUAGCUGGUUCUCCCCGAAAGCUAUUUAGGUAGCGCCUCGUGAAUUCAUCUCCGGGGGUAGAGCACUGUUUCGGCAAGGGGGUCAUCCCGACUUACCAACCCGAUGCAAACUGCGAAUACCGGAGAAUGUUAUCACGGGAGACACACGGCGGGUGCUAACGUCCGUCGUGAAGAGGGAAACAACCCAGACCGCCAGCUAAGGUCCCAAAGUCAUGGUUAAGUGGGAAACGAUGUGGGAAGGCCCAGACAGCCAGGAUGUUGGCUUAGAAGCAGCCAUCAUUUAAAGAAAGCGUAAUAGCUCACUGGUCGAGUCGGCCUGCGCGGAAGAUGUAACGGGGCUAAACCAUGCACCGAAGCUGCGGCAGCGACACUGUGUGUUGUUGGGUAGGGGAGCGUUCUGUAAGCCUGUGAAGGUGUGCUGUGAGGCAUGCUGGAGGUAUCAGAAGUGCGAAUGCUGACAUAAGUAACGAUAAAGCGGGUGAAAAGCCCGCUCGCCGGAAGACCAAGGGUUCCUGUCCAACGUUAAUCGGGGCAGGGUGAGUCGACCCCUAAGGCGAGGCCGAAAGGCGUAGUCGAUGGGAAACAGGUUAAUAUCCUGUACUUGGUGUUACUGCGAAGGGGGGACGGAGAAGGCUAUGUUGGCCGGGCGACGGUUGUCCCGGUUUAAGCGUGUAGGCUGGUUUUCCAGGCAAAUCCGGAAAAUCAAGGCUGAGGCGUGAUGACGAGGCACUACGGUGCUGAAGCAACAAAUGCCCUGCUUCCAGGAAAAGCCUCUAAGCAUCAGGUAACAUCAAAUCGUACCCCAAACCGACACAGGUGGUCAGGUAGAGAAUACCAAGGCGCUUGAGAGAACUCGGGUGAAGGAACUAGGCAAAAUGGUGCCGUAACUUCGGGAGAAGGCACGCUGAUAUGUAGGUGAAGUCCCUCGCGGAUGGAGCUGAAAUCAGUCGAAGAUACCAGCUGGCUGCAACUGUUUAUUAAAAACACAGCACUGUGCAAACACGAAAGUGGACGUAUACGGUGUGACGCCUGCCCGGUGCCGGAAGGUUAAUUGAUGGGGUCAGCGCAAGCGAAGCUCUUGAUCGAAGCCCCGGUAAACGGCGGCCGUAACUAUAACGGUCCUAAGGUAGCGAAAUUCCUUGUCGGGUAAGUUCCGACCUGCACGAAUGGCGUAAUGAUGGCCAGGCUGUCUCCACCCGAGACUCAGUGAAAUUGAACUCGCUGUGAAGAUGCAGUGUACCCGCGGCAAGACGGAAAGACCCCGUGAACCUUUACUAUAGCUUGACACUGAACAUUGAGCCUUGAUGUGUAGGAUAGGUGGGAGGCUUUGAAGUGUGGACGCCAGUCUGCAUGGAGCCGACCUUGAAAUACCACCCUUUAAUGUUUGAUGUUCUAACGUGGACCCGUGAUCCGGGUUGCGGACAGUGUCUGGUGGGUAGUUUGACUGGGGCGGUCUCCUCCUAAAGAGUAACGGAGGAGCACGAAGGUUGGCUAAUCCUGGUCGGACAUCAGGAGGUUAGUGCAAUGGCAUAAGCCAGCUUGACUGCGAGCGUGACGGCGCGAGCAGGUGCGAAAGCAGGUCAUAGUGAUCCGGUGGUUCUGAAUGGAAGGGCCAUCGCUCAACGGAUAAAAGGUACUCCGGGGAUAACAGGCUGAUACCGCCCAAGAGUUCAUAUCGACGGCGGUGUUUGGCACCUCGAUGUCGGCUCAUCACAUCCUGGGGCUGAAGUAGGUCCCAAGGGUAUGGCUGUUCGCCAUUUAAAGUGGUACGCGAGCUGGGUUUAGAACGUCGUGAGACAGUUCGGUCCCUAUCUGCCGUGGGCGCUGGAGAACUGAGGGGGGCUGCUCCUAGUACGAGAGGACCGGAGUGGACGCAUCACUGGUGUUCGGGUUGUCAUGCCAAUGGCACUGCCCGGUAGCUAAAUGCGGAAGAGAUAAGUGCUGAAAGCAUCUAAGCACGAAACUUGCCCCGAGAUGAGUUCUCCCUGACCCUUUAAGGGUCCUGAAGGAACGUUGAAGACGACGACGUUGAUAGGCCGGGUGUGUAAGCGCAGCGAUGCGUUGAGCUAACCGGUACUAAUGAACCGUGAGGCUUAACCUU
rnacentral:rRNA from 1 species